rnacentral:lncRNA from 1 species
GUUGCUUCCACCGCUUCCAAAGUCACCUGCAGAGUCAUGGUCUUGGAGGAAGCCUACAAGAGUUACUCCAGUUCCUUUUGUUUGACAAAAAGGUAGCUCAAAAUAUUGAAUCAUUAUAAACAAAAGAUCUCUCAUAAAAGGAAACAGUAACAAAUGAACACAAAUUCAUGUGAGUUUAUUUUUCAAUUGGUGUUAAGCUCUAAAUUUUAAAGCUUCAUUUGGAGGAAACAAUGAACAGACUCACCUGAUAUGUCUUUUGGUCAGAUUGACCUUUAUUAUGUGCUAAGACAAAAUAACGCAAUAACAACAUAACAAGCUUCGCACGUAAUUCUAGAUCUUCUCUUUUUGUUUUAGGCCCUUUGCUCCACGUAAGAUCCCGAGAGUCCUGAGGUUCCAAGAACAGUAACCUACAAAAAUAUUAAAACAAAGCGUUAGCAAGACAACUACUGGUUCAGUGGUUUCGUCUAAAUGAAAACACUAGUUUCUGCCAAAUUCUAUAUGAUUUCAUUCGGAUAGCUAGCCUAAAAGAUGCAUAAGGUUGAGAAAAAAAGAUCACAUAUAGUACGAGUGAGACUUUGGAGGACAAGUUGAAAUCGUAAAUAAUUAUGCAAACUCAUACUUUAAUCAGGCUUAUUCUAGCUUAUAUGAUGCUGUCAAAGAUGCAAAUCAACAGAGUACGUGUUUUGAGAGUAUAGAUCAGAUUUGAUUACCUUUCCCCAUUCAGAACCAAGCCCGCUGCAUCUCAUCUUCAAGUGGAUCAUCUUAGUCCCCAACUCCAUCUCAACCUUCUUCUUCAAGUAGACUUCUUCAGGUUCAAAGGAGUCUAGAUACUCAGCAUACCUCUGAUAAGCAGUACGCAGCGCAUCGGUUAUAUCAUUUGGUAAAGGCUUCACACCCUGCACACAAUACAACUAAAACAUCAAACAACCAGAAAUCAAGAAAAUGGUUUAGUGAAGGAAACAAACAAACAAACCUCCCCACUCAUUCCAAUGCUAUCAUCGAUUUCCAUCUUAAUCGAAGUGAGAAUCCCACCAAAUUCCUCUACAGCUUCAGCUGCUCGGAACACAUUUUUCAAAGCCUCUUGCCCUGCCUUGUCAUCUGUGUUUUUCGAUAUCGCGGUUUUAGCAUCUUUAACAACAGCAGAAGGAAGCUCAGCCCAAUCUGCAGCCAUCAAGUCUUUGAAUGCAUUCAGAACAUCAGAGUCUUCCAUUUCAGGCAUGUGAGAAACAUCUUCGCUAAAUCUCCGGACCUGUCCCAUUCCCAUUGCACGAGGAUACUGCAAAUCUGCGUAUUUUUACAGUCAAAUACGAAGUGCACGCACAAAUAGACCUCUCAAAACACCUAAUCAAUGUAUCUACAAAAUGCAUUCGUAAAGAAAUCAGGAGGCUCACCACGAGAAACACUUGCAUACGAAAUGAACGAGCCUUUAUUGAUCUGAACAUCACCAAUCACAGAAGCGUUCGGAGCCACAGUAAUCAACGUCCGAUGCCUCGACACUGAAAACAAACCACAAAUUUCUCAAAUCAAAGUUUUCAAUCUAAACUACAAAUUUCUCGAAUCAAAAGGAAAUUAUUGAUACAAAUGAGAGAUACAGAAUUGGAUCUAGGGUUCAAUAGAGCGAAGCAAGUGGAAGCUUACGAUGUUUCUCGAUGUGGUGGCUUCCUUGAAGAAGAGAACCAACGCGAGCUUGGGCUUGGGCAGUUCCACGAAUCCGAUUACCCACAGUGUGAAUCGCUCGUCCUAGGGUUCCCAUUUUUCUGAUUUUUCCGAUUACCCAAAGAGAGAGACAGAGAGGGACAGAGAGAGCUUGUUUUGAAGAAGAGAACCAACGCGAUCGCUUUAUUCAGUUCGUUGAUUUUGUUGUUGACCUCCAAACCAUAUCAAAUUGAACCAAACCGAAACUUUUUAAUCUAAGCUUAACCAAAUAAAUAGGGCUGGCUGAAAAUAACCGAAAUACAUACAGAACGGUUCGCUUGUCGGUUUUUUUCCUUAAGGUUCCGAUUGCUAAAAUUGCAUAAUAGCAUAAUGACAUAAAUUGUAGAAUAAAAAUUUCGCAGAAUGAAAAUUUGCAAACUAAAAAAUCGUCGAAUGAAACUAAUUUUAAAAUAUAUUAAUUGGAUAUAUUUUGCAAAAUGACAAAUAAAUAUUUCAAGAAGAUCAUGAGACUGCCACAAACCGAAGAACACAUAGGACGACACGAGGCAAAUGAAUGGCUGGAAGCAAACAGUUAUACUGAAGGCACAAGAGGUAGUCAAACAAACAAGAAUACGGUUCAUGACAGAGGUUCUCAAUGGCGACCACCACCAAGAGGAUGGGUGAAGUGUAAUUUUGACAGUGGCUUUAUGCUGGGACGAUCCUUUACAAAUACGGGAUGGUUGAUAAGGGACGAUGAAGGAAAGGUUUUAAUUACAGGCUGUUGAAAACUACCAUCGACUAAUUCACCUUUACAGGCGGAAGCUACCGGGUUGUUACAUGUCCUUCAAGUAGUUUGGGCUUGUGGAAUAAAAAAUGUUUGUUUUGAUGGAGACAACCAAGAACUUAUAGCAACUAUCAAUAAUGGUGAUGAUCAUUCUCUGAUAGGGGCUCUUCUUUACGAUAUUCGUCAUUGGAUGGCCAAACUAUCCAACGUAUCUCUACUCCAUGUCAAUCGUGAACGAAAUAGUGCUGCAGAUAAGAUGGCUCAAUACGUUCUGUCUACUACUACUCUGUAUCAGUUCUUUAUUGUCCCUCCUCGUUUCUUACUUUCUUAUUUGUAUCAACCUUAUACAAUUUAAUAAAGUUGAAGUUGUUAAAAAAAAAAUAUUAUAUUAACAAUAUAUAUGUAGAUAUAUAUAUAUAUAUAUAAACUUAAUAAAAAAUAAUGUUUAAAACAAAUUAGUAUAUUUGAGUAAUUUUCGAUACUAAAAAUGUAAGAUAAUUAAAAUUUAUUAAAAAGUUAUGAAAAUGUUUUUUUGUAUUACUAAUGAUAUAAUUUUGUGUAAACUAUGAUACUUUUUUUUUUACAAUUGCUAAUAUUUGUAUGCAUAGAAUAAUAAGAUUAUAUUAUGCAAAUAAAUAAUUAUAUACACACUUUUUGGCAUAAUGAAUUUUUACUUAAAACAAAAAUACAAAUCUUACGUUUUUGCGUUUUCUAAUACAAUUAUGCAGAUUUUUUUUAUUGGCAAAUUUUCUGCAUUAUGUGUGUUACCAAUAAGAGCCUAAAUUGUUUUCAGAUUAUCGUAUAAGAGUUAAGAUCAAUGUAAAAAAUAACACAAAUCGAUAUAUUAAUUAAAUAAUAAAUUUUUGAAAAUUUUAUGUAAAUAUAUGGUCUCAUUAAUAUCAUAAAUUAAUAAUUGUAAAAGUUUUUUUAAAUAUAUAUAUGUUAUACGGAAGAAAAAUAGUGAAAUAUGAAUUUGCUAAUAUUUUUAUUUUUAUUUAUAUUAAUUCUUGGUAAAGUUUAUUUAAUAUCUUUUUACUACAUCGAAAACGUUCUUUUUUUUAUUUUCUAAAGUUAAUAAUUUAUUAUUAUUUGAGGUUUAACGUUACCAUCGUAAAGUUAAAAAUAUAAUGAUUAUAAAGAAGAAGAAAAAAUUCAGACAUAAUAUUUUUUUUUAAAUUACAAAAUUAGUCUAAAAUCUCUACAAAUUAAUAAUUAUUAAUUUAUCGAUAAAUUAAUACUUUUAUAAAUUAAUAGAAUUUCAUAGUUCAAACAUUUAUAUAUGUGAUAAAAUUACAAAAAUGAAGUAGCAAUAUUUUUGCAUGGCCAAAACAAAUAAUAAAAAAAGAUAGCACGGCCAUGAUCGAGGAGAUUAAAAUACAUCGAACGUAACGUUGGAUGCAUUUACAAGUGCCAUAGCAUGACUUUCUUGGGACGAGGAUCAUGGAUGAAUAAAUAUACUUGUUGAACAACAUAUGUUAUGUUGCACGAGCAAAUUAAUUUCACAUGGUGACGUUAUCGACUAAUGAUGACAGUAGUCUGUUGAAGUGAAUCAAUGAGGUACUGAAAAGUCAUAGAACGUGGAAAAUUUACAUUUAUCUUGUCUGCUAGAAACAAUUGUAUAGAGUUUUCCAAAUUUGAAAAUCAACAUGUGAAGAAAUUUUUGUUGAUCUUCAGUCUUACAAAUUUUUGGAUAGCUGCUUUCCGGCUGCCCAAAGCAUGCUUUCAAGAAAUAGAUAAACUGUGUUCAAGUUCUCUGUGGUCAAGACCAUCGAUGAACCCUUGAAAGGUAAAAGUGGCAUGGACUGAGGUCUGCACACCAAAGAAUGAAGGUGGACUAGGGCUGCGGUCGAUUGAAGAAGCAAACAAAGUAAGUGUAUUAAAGUUGAUAUGGCGUAUACUGUCGGCUAAAGGAUCUUUGUGGGUUGAAUGGGUAAAGAAAUAUUUCAUAAGAAAAGGCUCCUUCUCGGCAGUAAAAGACACUACAACUUGCGGUUCUUGGAUAUGGAAUAUAGAGGGAUAGCACAACAGUUCUAUAGAGUAGAGGUCAAAAAUGGAGAAACGACCUCAUUUUGGUUUGAUGAAUGGAGUAAUAUAGGCUGUCUAUAUGAAAAACUUGGGAUAAGAGGAUGUAUUGACUUGGGAAUCUGAGUUACUGCAACUGUGGGGGAGGUAAUGUCCAUGAAUCGAAGAAAGAAACAUAGGCAGGACCUCUUAAAUACGGUUGAAAACGCUAUCAAAAGCCAGAAACCUGCACAACAAAAUGAUGAGACUGAUAUCGGGCUAUGGAAAGGGAGAAAUGACCAUCACCGAAACGUUUUUAAUUCGAAAGAAACGUGGAUGCAGAUACGUAACACUAGGCCAUUGAUGGAGGAUUACAAAGGAAUCUGGUUCCCCUACUUGACUCCAAAAUACUCCUUCAUCACUUGGUUAGUCGCAAAAAACAGAGUAACAACCGGAGCUCGGAUGCUCAAGUGGAAUAGACAAGCUGAUUCAAGUUGCAUCUUUUGCCAAGAUCCUAUGGAGACUUGGGAACAUCUGUUCUUCUUAUGUCCCUUUUCUUUUCAGGUGUGGCGGGAACUAGCAAAGGGGAUUCUCACCACCGACUUCACAGCUAGCUGGAGAGACAUCCUCAAGUUGAUACAAGGAAAUGAUCUUGGCAAAACAAAGUGUCUCAUCCUUCGGUACAUUUUUCAGAAUGCCAUUCACUCUAUUUGGAGAGAGCGAAAUAACAGGAAACACAGUGAAGAUCACUCAACAAUUAUGAGACUUGUAAAAAUGAUCGACAAAAACAUUCGCAGCAGGCUAAGCACCAUUCAGAGUGGAGGGGACUCAAAGUACGCAGGAGGCAUACAAUUUUGGUUUCAAUCAUGACAACAGUUUUAAUCUAUGAGUUCUUCCUAUCAUGAUUUAAAUUAAAAACAGUAUGCACUUUGAUGUAAACAUGUUUAUUUUUUCUUGAAUAUAAUUUAAUAUUAAAUUCAAAAGAAAAAAAACAUGUGAAGAAAUCUAUAAAUAUAGGUUUUAAGAAACAAAGAAAAGCAUAAGAAAGAGAGUCGUACGCCUACCAAAAAAAGAAAGAAAAUCGUGAAGAUGAGAGGCGUAACACCAAACUAUUACCGUUCUUACACUUUCUUCUUCUUCGUCGAUGUCUUAUUAGCUCUGUUUCUUUAUGUGUUCUCGAACAAUACUCACUGUCAGCCCUAAAAUUUGGGGGGCCUAAAAAAUUUCUAAAAGGGAAAAAAAAAAUUGGGGGCUUUUUUGUAAAGAAAAAAUUCCCAAAAUUUUGGGGGCGACAAUCAAUUGUUUCUCCCUAUCAAUACUUUGUCAUGUACAGAAACUCUGACAAUCUCAAGCAACCGAACUAUUGUGUCUCCCGGUAACGUCUUCUAGCUAGGUUUCUUCAAAACCACAGCAAGCUCUCGAAAUGGAUAUGGUUGGUAUCUUGGGAUUUGGUACAAGUCAAUCUCUGAGAGAACUUAUGGAUGGGUUGCCAACAGAGACAAUCCUCUUUCCAAAUCCAUUGGAACAUUAAAGAUCUCUUACGCUAAGAUCAUUCUCGUACUCCUGUUUGGUCAAAGAAUCUGACGAGAACGGUAAAAUCUCCAGUGGUGGCAGAGCUGCUCGAUAACGGCAACUUCGUGCUUCGAGACUCCAAAAUCAACUAUCAAAACCGAUUCUUGUGGCAAAGCUUUGAUUAUCCGGUGGACACAUUACUCCCAGAGAUGAAGAUUGGUCGGGAUCUCAAAACAGGAUACGAGACUUUCCUCAGUUUUUGGAGACUCCCUUAAGCGGAGGCUUCUCGUUCAAACUCGGAACUCAAGGCUACAUGAGUUUUAUCUUUACAAGAAAGAGUUUCUAUUGUACCAAUCCGGUCCAUGGAAUGGAGUUGGGUUUAGUGGCAUACCGACGAUGCAAAACAGGAGCUACUCUGACGUUGUUAACAACUUCAUAGACAAUAGAGAGGAAGUUGCUUACAAUUUCAAAGUUACCGACCAUAGCACGCACUACGUGAGAUUAACACUGACUCCCGAAGGAUUAUAUAUUAGAGAUAUCCAGAUGGGAUACAACAUCAUCGGAAUGGAACUUGUUUUGCGUUUUACCGACCGCGAAAUGCGAUUUGUACCAAAUAUGUGGUCGUGACAGUUAUUGCGACAUGACAACUACCACGGAGAUGGGGUUUUUAUUCUGAUGAAGAUGAUGAGGCUGCCGGAGACAAGCACAACAAUUGUGGAUAAGACAAUUGGGUUGAAUGAAUGUAAGGAGAGGUGUUCUAAGGAUUGUAACUCUACCGGGUUUGCGAAUAAGGAUAUCCGAAAUGGUGGGUCGGUUGUGUGAUUUGGACUGAGAGCUCAUGGAUAUGAGAAAUUAUGUCGACGGAGGUCCAGAUAUAUAUGUCAAAAAAGGCCUUUAUUAUUAGAUAUGAAAACUGGAUAUCUUGAUAUAUUUUAGAAAAUCGGAAAUUUAUAUGAUCCGUGCUUUAUAGAUAUCCAUAUCCACUAAACAAUAUUUAAGAAUAAUAAUACAAAAUUAGAAAUAUUUUGAAAACCAACUUUGAAAGUCUAUAUAUAUAAUUUAAAUUUUCUAUCCGAUUAUAUCGAAAAUGAAUGUUGAAUUCGGAACAUUUUACCACCCCUGCGAAAUCAUGUUAUAUUUGAAAUUUUUUAGUUUGCAUAUGCGUUUUUAGUUUAUGCUGGAUGGAUUAAUUCAAAUGAUGAAUAAAAACGUAAAAUAUUGUAACGGUUAGGCUUCUUGCUUACCAAUUUAAUAGUAGUUGUUGUUUUAUAAUGGUAAUAAUCAAAUUAAAAAAAUCCAUAGACACAUCAACACACAAAUAUAUUAGUUUACUGUUCAAAAGAGACCGGAGCACCAAACUUGCUCCCUACUCUACGGACACAUUCGUUCCAUGAUUGUUUGCUAUAUGGAAUGUCUUUAGAUGCAAUACUAUUACCAUACACAUACAUGGCGGACCAGCCUUCAACCAAUCUGAAAUGGCAAUCUUUGCCCAUUUUCAAUAUUUCACGACAACAUUCAUUUAUAAUUGGCAUCAUCUCAUCUUUCAUGUUUUCGAAAACCACAUUUAAGCAUAUCCAGCUUUGCUUCAUAGCGCAAGCCGCAAUAAAAUCGGGUAUUUUGUACCGGUCCUUGUCAUAUUCUAUUGCGGGUGAAUCAGCUUCUUCGAAUAGAGCUUCAUCGGGAGCUUCAACGUAAAUAUUAAACUUUGAAGAUGAAGAUAAGGCCACAUCUUCUAGCACCUCUAGCGAAUAUGGAUCAAUUUCUUGGGAGAAAAUUGGACGAGCCAUGUAAAACAUUACUAUAGACACGAGCGUAACCAUGAGAAGAGUCUUUGUCAUCUUUGUUUUUUUUGAUGUAAGAAUACUUUUAGUUUUAGAUGUAAGAUUGAUGACAUGAAACAAGAAACAAGAGAUUUUAUAGGACAAUCACUAAAGGGUAUUUAAUUGAUUAAACAUUUAUUCAUUAAUAUUUGUAUGUUACUAACUUCAACAUUUAAUAAUUAUGUUUAAGAUACGUUUACAUUAGACACUAUGCUAUUUUUACAAGUUGUAACUUUAAACUUUGUCUUGGAUCAAACAUUACUAUAGAUUUUGGGCAAACUUAAAGAUAACAACACUCCAUUUUUUCUUCAAAUGAUUACAAAUCAAAGUAAUAUAGUAGACACAACACAAUUAUCGAAAUUAUUACACUUUUUUGCUUCUUUUAUUUUGUUAUCGAAAUUAACCGAACUUUUUAGUUUUCUGGUUAAAAUUUAGUUAAAUUAGGAUAAAUUUGGUUGAAUCGGCUCGGUUAGUUUUAAAAUAAUUAAUUAUAAAAAAUAAAAAAUAAAAAAUAAAAAGGCUACCUUUUAAAUUUUAAUACAAUUAAAAACGAAUUGGUUUUUUUUAUGAGAAACAAAAUCAAGGGCCGAGAGAAUGGUUGUUUUUAAUGAACUGUGUUUCUUUUUUGAAAAAAUAAAGUCUAGGUGUUUGAAAAACAGAACGACACACACAGAGUCCAUCAUCUAUAAUCUGUCUACAACUUCUCCAAAUUAUGAAGAUGAGAGGCGUAACACCAAACUAUUACCAUUCGUACACAUUCUUUUUCUUCUUCGUUGUCUUAUUAGCUCUAUUUUUUAUGUGUUCUCGAUCAAUACUUUGUCAUCUACAAAAACUCUAACAAUCUCAAGCAACCGAACCAUUGUGUCUCACGGUAACGUCUUCGAGCUAGGUUUCUUCAAAACUACAGCAAGCUCUCUAAAUGGUGAUCGUUGGUAUCAUGGGAUUUGCUACAAGUCAAUCUCUGAGAGAACUUAUGUAUGGGUUGCCAAUAGAGACAAUCCUCUUUCCAAAUCCAUUGGAACAUUAAAGAUCUCUUACGCUGACCUUGUCCUUCUUGAUCAUUAUGGUACUCUAGUUCGGUCAAAGAAUCUGACGAGGACAGUGAAAUCUCCAGCGAUAUCAGGUUUCAAAAGCAGCCUGAUGCGUCCGAGAAUGUGGAACGACACGCAAUUAUAUUAUAAUUAAUUCGCAUCUUCCUAAUGUAUAAGCCAAUAUUCACUUCCUUAAUUCGGAAAUUUCCGAAAAUGGGGGAAGACUAAUUGUUGAUGCAAGAAUUAGCACAUCCGACAAUAUCGGCUUAAACCAGAAGAAUUAAGAAUUAAACUGAGAAUUCAGUCAAACCGGGGUACUCUGGUUUAGCUUGUUAAUAGGCCAAAAAGAAGAGAUCGUCCGAUCAACCUGGUGUAAAGAGGUCGCCUGGCCGACUUCCUAAAUCAGAGAAAAAAAAAGUUUUCCUUUUAGACAAAGGAGAAUCUCGGAGAUGCAGGAAAUAAGAAGAUCCAAGCCCUAAAGAAUAGGAAGUUUAACUUUUCAUGAUAAACCGUCAUAAUCUUGUAUAAAUAGAGGGGUUUGUCUCUUUUUUUUCUACUGAAUAGAUCAUUGUAUUAUACUACUAGAUAAGGCCCACCUAUUUAGGCGGGUAUAAGAUACAAAAAUAAAUUUUUAUCGAUAGUAUUUGAAUUUGUAUAGUAAUCAAUAUAUUUUUCUUGAUAUUUAAUUUAAUAAUUAUUGUUUUAAACAAAAUUUCUAUUUUAUGCAUUUUAUUUUAAUUAUACCCACUCAAUCUUAUCAAUGAUAUUUGAAUUUUAAAUAGUAACUGACCCUUAUUCUAUAUUUAAUUUAAUAUCUAAAAAGAAAAGAAAAACAAAUUUAUAUCUUAAACAUUCAAUUUUGUAACACAAUUUAACUAUCUAUGUCAUCAUAAUAAACUCGAUUUAAAUUCUACACACUUCAUUUUAAGUUUCAUAUCAAAAUAAUAUUUAUGACAUAUCAAAUCUAUAUCCUAGAUAUAUGAAAGUAAUUGAAAAGUUAUAACAAAUAAAAAUCUAUAUCCUAGAUAUAUGAAAGUAAUUGAAAAGUUAUAAUAAAUAAAAAUAGUCUCAAUAAAGUAACUAAAAAGUUAAAUCCUAUAAGCUAUUUUUCUCAAAAUAUUCUAUUUUCACUUAUGAUUACAUGAGUUAAAAUUCUUAGAAUAAAACAUAGGUAUAGUAACACAUCAAAGGAUGCAAGACGCUCCAUCAUACGAUGUACGAUGCCUUAAAAUUCUUAGAAUAAAACAUACGUAUUCAAAAAUUUAUUCUUUUUUAAAAAUUUAAUAUGUGGUACACUUAAAUGACCAAUUCACAUGUAAAAACUAAUUUGUUAAUUUUCCUUUUGUUGAAUAAAAGUAAAUUGUUUCUAUAUAUUUAGACAUAUAAAUUAGUAUAUGUAAAUUUGUUUACUUUUAAAAAUUUUCUAUUUUUUUAAGAGAAUAAAAAAGUUAAAUCUUUAAUGACACAUGUAAACAUCUGAUCGUUUGAAUUGACACGUGGCACGAUCCUAUGAAUUAGUACCUUUGAAAACUAUACUUUAUAUAAUAUCUCAAAAUAUUCUAUUUUCACUUAUGAUUACAUGAGUUAAAAUUCUUAGAAUAAAACAUAGGUAUAGUAACACAUCAAAGGAUGCAAGACGCUCCAUCAUACGAUGUAUGAUGCCUUAAAAUUCUUAGAAUAAAACAUACGUAUUCGAAAAUUUAUUCUUUUUAAAAAAUUUAAUAUGUGGUACACUUAAAUGACCAAUUCACAUGUAAAAACUAAUUUGUUAAUUUUCUUUUUGUUGAAUAAAAGUAAAUUGUUUCUAUAUAUUUAGACAUAUAAAUUAGUAUAUGUAAAUUUGUUUACUUUUUUAAAUUUUCUAUUUUUUUAAGAGAAUAAAAAAGUUAAAUCUUUAAUGACACAUGUAAACAUCUGAUCGUUUGAAUUGACACGUGACACGAUCCUAUGAAUUAGUACCUUUGAAAACUAUACUUUAUAUAGCAAAAUCGCUGUGUAGCAUAGAAGAUAUUACAUGAGGUAUCAAAUUAUGAAAAAACAAAAGAAGUGUUAAUUGGUAAGUAGUGUUUUGCUAGAUGAUCUGUUGGCUUGUUAUUAUCCCUUUUGCAACAAGAAAAUUUGCAAUCUGUGAAUCGAAACCUCCAUCUUCUUGCUUCCCUUAUCCAAUUGAAGAUUCCAAAGUUAAGUUUUUGUCCAGUGAGUAAUUUUGUUACUUCCUUGUUGUCCCCUUCAAAACACACUCUAAUAAUUCCUUUGCUCCAACAGUUCUGCAUUGCGAAAAUUAGAGCUUGAAAUUCCCCUUUCUAAGGCAUUGUUGGUUCGUUUUCCUUUCGCUUGAUGAUAUGUUUCAAAUGCCUUAAGACCACUCUCUCAAAUAAGAGAUCGUCGAUAGUACUUUAGGGUCGACUUCCACAAAGCUCUUUUGUUCACACAAUAGGCUAAAAUAUCAAAAUUAAGCUAGAUAGAUAAUGAGUAAAUAAAAGAAAGUAAAAUAAGCAGAUUGGAGGUUAUAAGACAAGAUAAUAAAACGUCAGAUUUAGGGUAUUCUCAGGAAAUAGAUGAUCAGUAGCAUCUGCUGGAUACCUGGUAUUGAAGUUACCAAUGCUCGCUAAAUCAAGCCAUCUGAUAUCUCCAAUCAAAUCCUCUGAACAAGGUACCGAGAAGUUGUACCUCACCGAAGCCAUGAUGCAGGUAGUCCCGUUGAUAUUUCUUGAAACGAACCCAGACUGCUUUGGAAGCUUCUGUCAGACCUUGAGUGAAGGUAGACAGCUUCUUUCGCAGCUCCUCAGACUUAGCAUCAUCAUAGAAGUUGUUCAGGAAGGCUAUCUUGAUGCUUCUCCAAGUAGUGAGUGAACCAGCCUUCAAUUGCUUCAACCAAGAAGCAGCUUCCCCAACAAGUGAGUAGGAAAAAGCUUGCACAGUAAGUAGUCUUCAGAGACUCCAUUAGCCUUAAUGCUCAGUACGAGGUCCUCAGAAAGCUUGAUAUGGUUCAUUGGAUGUUCGUGAGAUAAGCCAUGGAAAUGGUGUUGGCCUACUAGUGCGAAGUAGCAAGGCUUCAGCUCAUAGUCGUUCUUCUAGAAAGGUGGAGGUACAAUCGAUGAUCGGUUGGCAUAGAACAGGUCGGGCAUGUUGAAAUCCCCAAGAGUACGACGUUGUACUAUAGCUGGUGGAUGAGUUGCGGCAGGAAUCUGUGGUUGGUAUCGCUCGACACCGAGCUCUUCCUCGUUAUGAUCCUGCGGGUGUCGUUCGACACCCAGUUGGUGUUGCUCGACACCGAGCCCUGCUGUGUUCCUAGCAGCCAACUGUGCGUUGAGGCGCGCUUGUUCCUCAGUUAUGUCCUCUAUGAUCAUCCAAUCUCUGACCAGCCACAUUGUAGGCUUGUCCAUCUUCAUUUCUUAAAACUCCUUGCUCAUGAGCUCUCAUUACUCUGUUAGCCAUUGCUAAUUUCUGAGUUUUGCGGUUAGUGCGGUAUAGUAUUCCCAAAUCAAGUACAUAUAAGUUGAUCAGGUUUUUCUGUUUAGUGCUUCUUGUAAGCCUAGACAUACACCUGAAACACUGAAAAGAAGAAAAACAAGAAACGCGUGAGUAUCAAAAAAAAAAAAAUCUAGACAAAAUCUGUAAACUAAACCUAAUGGUGAUUCCCAAGAACUUUGGAAACGGCGCCAAAUUUGAUAUGGUUCAAUUUGCCUUAAGACCACUAUCUCAAAUAAGAGAUCAUCGAUAGUACUUAAGGGUCUAAUUCCACAAAGCUCUUUUGUUCACACAAUAGGCUAAAGUAUCGAAAUUAAGCUAGAUAGGUAAUGAGUAAAUAAAAGAAAGUAAAAUAAGCAAAUAGCAGAUUGGAAGUUAUAAGACAAGAUAAUAAAACGUCAGGCUUAGGAUAUUCACAGGAAACAGAUGAUUAGUAGAUAUAGAAAUAGCUAGGUUGUUAUCGAACCGUUCUUAAACUCAAACUCUAGUUACAGAAUAACCGUUGAUAUUCAAUGAAACUCAUUAUGCCUAGAGCUAAGAUUCCCGGUGAUGUGCCGUGAAAUUCUAUACUUAAACAUGCAUGCUAAACGAGUUCGAUAAGUUCACCUUAGUAGAUAGGCCGAUUCUUAUUACACACUAUAAACCAGGCUCAUCAAAUAGUAGUUAUGGUAACAUAUACAUAUGGUGGGUAUAUCUAUUAUCUGAUAUCAAGUUCUAGUUAGCUACUCUAGAACUAGCAUUAAGAACAAUUAAAGAUGAAGAAUCCUAUAGAUAACCUAGCAAGGGGCGAUCUACUAAAUCAUAUGAAUCUCUAAUGAGAAACCCUAACUCUAACAAGCAGACUACUCAAACAUGAUGGAUGAAACAAACAACAUGUAUGAAUAAGAAAGCAUAAACAAAAUCAAUAAAGAGAGAGUUAGAAAAGAUUUCUUCAUUGUUAUUGAAAUCUCUGAUGAAACUCUGAAAAUAGGGGAUGAAUAGCUUAUGAAAGUGCUCUAGAACAAUUUGUUCUCAAGAGACUUAGCAAAAGACUUAGGUCUAAACAAUGACCUUUAAAAAUUAUAUAUACAUGACAUAACGAAAAUAGAAAAGUCUUCUGGGCAAAUUUCCAUAUCUUCAAACUCUAAACCAUCAUGGACUUUUCUGGGCUGCAACUGGUGUCUAUCGACACCAAGAGUGUAUCAAUCAACACUCUCGACUUGAUCUGAAAGUGAAUUCGUCCUUUGGCUUAUUUUCUUCAGCUUUUGCUCCAAAACAUCUUCUUAUCUCUAUUCUUGUCCUUCUCCAUGGAAUACCUGAAAAGACUCAAAAAGGACUCUAGAAAUAACAAAAAGACUCAAAAUCUAUAUCUAAAACAUAGGUAAAAAUAAUAAAAAUAGGGUUAUAUCACUUGACCUGCUCCUAAAUAGGUUCCUUUGUUGUCUCUCAUUACCCAACCCGCUUUUGAUGGUAGUCGAGGAGCAAAGGUACCGUCCUAGUUGCACUUUAUCCAGUUUGUUUGUGGUCUUUCCUAAGCGGAGCUUCGAUGUUCUCUGGUUGUCUAUCUCAGUUGAGGUGUCACUAUAUUAGUGUAGUCUUCAACAUCUUACCUUUAUUGUGCAUCAUUACGAGCGAAUCGGAUUAUAUUUCUCCACGGGGUAGCUGAUCUCUAAAAGAUUAAUUUGUUUCGACUUAACCAUAACCUCCAUAAUAACAUAAUUGGAAAAUGCUUCAUAAAAUAAACCCUAAUUUUUUACAUCAUUCUUGAGCAAAAACCCUAACUCUGUCUCAAAACAACCUUGUUUAUCUUUUAUAUUGAGUCUUUGAGUAUAUAAUAACAAGAGAGUUAAGUGAAUUUGUUUUCCCCUUUAAACAAAUUCAUUGUGUGACUUUCGGAAUCAACAGUUGCCAACAAAAAUAAUCCUCUUUCCAAGUCCAUUGGAAUAUUAAAGAUCUCUUUUGGUAACUUCGUCCUUCUUGAUCAUUCUGGUACUCCUGUUUGGUCAACAAAUCUGACGAGAACUGUGAAAUCUCCAGUGGUGGCAAAGCUGCUCGAUAACAGCAAGUUCGUGCUUAGAGACUCCAAAAGCAACUAUCAAAACCGAUUUUUGUGGCAAAGCUUUGAUUAUCCGGUGGAAACAUUACUCCCGGAGAUGAAGAUUGGUUGGGAUCUCAAAACAGGACACGAGACUUUCCUUUGUUCUUGGAGAAUCCCUUAUGAUCCCUCAAGUAAAGGCUUAUCGUUCAAACUCGGAACUCAAGGCUACAUGAGUUCUAUUGUACCGAUCCGGUCCAUGGAAUGGAUUCGGGUUCAGUGGCAUACCGUUAGAGCUGUCAAUUGGGCCAGCUGCCCAUGGACGGGAUAUGGUCUAGAACAAAAAACAAAUGGACAAAUUAUUGGGCAUAUGACCAAUUUUGUCCGCGGACCAUAUGAGCAUGCCCAAUUACUAAAAUUGACAUCCAUUUUAAUUCUAUGUUAUAAAUUAAAUUCGACUACAGCUAAAUAAUUUUAAAUUAUUAUAUUUCUAAUUUUUAUAUUUAUUUUAUAAAAUAUUUAAAAUUAAUAAAUUAUUUUAUUAUUACAUUGUUUAUGGUUUUGAAGGAUAAAUGAUUUUCUAUAAUUACACCCCCCCCCCCCCCCCUAAAGUAAAUCGUGAUAUUAGGAAAAACACAACUCACAAUUUUAUGCAAACACAAUUUUACAGUUUUGGCGGGAAACACACAAUUCCGCAAUUUUAUCGCCAAAUUUGUGAUUUGUUGUAUUGGUGGACAAACACAAUUUAGGUUUGGCGGAAAAACGUAAUUCCGUAAUUUCCGGCCAAAAUCGUAAAUUUAUUGUACUGGCAGAAGACACAAUUUCGGUUUUGACGGAAAAAUGCAAUAAUCCAAUUUUAUGGUUUUGGCCGAAAAGUGCAAUUCUGUAAUUUUCCAUCAAAUUCGUGAUUCUGUUGUAUUGGGGAAAAACACAAUUUCGGUUUUUUAUGGGAAAACACAAUUAUUUAAUUUACGGUUUUAGUAGAAAACGUAAUUAUCCAAUUUUACGGUUUUGGAGGGAACAGAAUUCCGCAAUUUUCCGCCAAAAUCCAAAUUUAAUUGUAUCGGUGGAAAACCAAAUAUUUUGUUUUUGGCGAAAAAUUACAAUUUUUCGAUUUCAUAGUUUGGGUAGCAAAAUGAAUUUCUAUAGUUUUAUCACCAAAAUAUUGAUAGAAUUAAUUACUCGGAUAUCAUAGAAAAGUAUGUUUAUUCCAAGAAUAAUAUACAUCUUUUUUUAAUUACUUAUAUAUUUUGAGCAUUUGUGUAAUUACAAUUAACAUCCAUGAUUAGUUUUUAUUAAAUAAUAUUAUUUAAUUCGUUUUUCAAUUAAGAAAUAAAUAAAUAAAACAAUCAUUAUCCACGUUACUAAUCCACGUCAUUUACCCUAAUUCACGUUAUUAUCCGAAUCCACGUUACACGGAACCAAAAAUUCCCUUAAAUCUUUCGGUUUUCCUUUUUUUCUCGACAUUUCACAGUUCAUCCUCGUAAAAAAAACGGUCGCUCUCUUUUCUUGUUCCGUCGACGAAACCCUAAUUUCGUCGCCGUUCUCGGUUUAUCUCGUCUCUUCCGGCCGAAAUCCUUCAUUGGUGUCGAAUUUCAAGUCAUCAUAAAUCAAAACCCAAAUAAAAGAGAUCUAUGGAAUUCUACAUGAUUCGUUAAAGGUUUGAGUUGAAAUCAAGAAUAUCUACUCUUUUACUUUGAUUUUACAUGUCUCUCGUUUAGUCUUCCUCUUUGGAGACAUUUAUACUUCUAUCAAUAUUUUGAUUCAUACGGUUUAGUCUUUCUCCUAUGUAUCCCUCAAACAUAUUCUUACGUUUCUUAAUUUGAUUGUUGUCUUCCCCCAAAAAAAUUUGCUUUCCGAUUUGAAUUAUAAAUCAGUCGUAAAGUGAUGUAACUCAGCUAUAACAUGAUGUAACUCAACCGUAACAUAUAAUUUACACAACCUUUCGUCUUCCUUGAAUGAUAACUCAGUCGUGACAUGUAAUUUACCGAACCUUUCGUCUUCCUUCAAUCAUAUAACUCAACCGUAACAUAUAAUUUACACCCAUCUUUCGUCUUCCUUUGAGCAUAUCACGCAGCUGUGACAUUUUAAUUGACCGAACCUUUCGCCUUCCCUUAAGCAUAUAACUCAGCCAUAAUGUAAUUUUACCGAGCCUUACGUCUUCUUUGGAACAUAUAACUCAGUCGUGACAUGUAAUUUGACCAAACCUUUCUUCUUCUCUUAAGCAUAUAAGCCAGCUGUGACAUGUAAAUAUUCUCUGAAACAAUAAGAGACGCAACAUUUCGUCUAACUUUAUCAUCGAGCACCAACUUCACAAGUUUGUCCUACGUUGUUUCCGCAUCAAUCUGCACAACUCUACACCCUAUUUCAUCGGUGUUAAAUACGUAACCUGAUCAACCAUAUCGGGAGAAGGAUGAAAGAAAUAGAAGAAGAAUGAGGAAGACGAUGAGGAAUUGGAAGUUCCGGUGGUAUUAAAAACGCAGGUGAAGAAGACGAGUUGAAAAAAUUUGGCCCUAUUUUUUGGUCCAUUGAUGAUGCUGAUAUGGAAUAUUGCAGCCGACGUCGUUUUGAACUGAUGAGGUGGCAAGUAAGCCACCAAACGAACAUGUAAAUUUACCUAAAUAAUUCAGCUAUCAAACAAAGCUAUAAGUCAGUUGCGACAUCAAUACUAUUACAGUAAUUAAAAAACAAAAAAACGCCAAGUUAAUUCAGCCGUUUAAUGUCGUAACUCAACCGAUAAUAAAUAUCUCUGUCGUAUCGUUUAAUAAUUCGGUCGUAACUGCAUGCUAUUAUAGUAAUUAAUCUUUUGCAACUGAGUCGGCCAUUACAAGACUGAGUUAUUCAGUAACCCAACUCUUUACGGCUGAUUUAUGACACUCGAAAAUAACUCAGCCGUAACAACAUCUCAUAACUAAGCCGUCCUUCAUAACCCAACCAGCCGAAAAAAGAUAACUCAGUCAUGUCGAGGUAAUAAGUCAGUUGUUUUCUAAUAACUCAGCCAUAACGUUGUCUGGAUUAUGCUCAAAAAUCUAUAACUCAGACAAAAUUCAUUAACUCAGCCGUCAUGUAGGCUGGAUUAUCGCAUAACUCAGACAAAUCAGCCGUAAUUAUUGGCUGAGUUAUACUAUAAUUCCGUCGUUUUCUUAUAACUCAAAUAAAUUUGUCUUAAGUCAGCCGCAACAUACCAUAACUCAGCCGUAACUACCGUUGUAUCGCCUUACGGCUGAGAUCAUUAAUCCACGUCAGUGAUUUCUGACAUGGCGACGUGGGUUUGCUGACGUGGCAGUGGCAUUCUUUGUAAUUAUGUUUUUUUCUGUGACGUUUAGUAGGGCACGAUGGGUAUACAAAAAAAAAAAGAAAAUAUGAAAGAAAUAUAAAAAAGUUUUGUAUGGUUCUCGUAAAUACACUUAAUUUCUAUGACAUCUGAGUAAAGUUCCUUUAAUAAAAUUAAUGAAAUUGGUUGUCCAAGGUCCUCCUAUCUAGACGUGAGCUUUAUUGGGCAUGGGCAUUUUUUGAGACCAUUGUCCAUUAUGGACUACACAAAAUCAGCCCAUAAAAAAUCUAUCUGUUCGGACACGCCCAAUGGUCUAUAAACGGACCAUUUGACAGCUCUACAUACCGACGAUGCAAAACUGGAGCUACUUUGACGUUGUUAACAACUUCAUAGAGAAUAGAGAGGAAGUUGCUUGCAGUUUCAAAGUCACCGACCAUAGCAUGCACUAUGAGAUGUACACUGACUCCUGAAGGAUUAUUACAUAUAUCCAGAUGGGAUACGAUAUCAUCAUAAUGGAACUUAUUUGGCGUUUUACCGACCGAGAAAUGCGAUUUGUACCAAAUAUGUGGUCGUGACAAUUAUUACGACAUGAAAACGUCACCAACAUGUAAUUGUAUCAAAGGCUUUGUUCCAAAGAAUGUGACUGGUUGAGAUUUGGGAGAUAUAUUCGAGGGAUGUGUGAGGAAGUCACGGCUGUAUGCCACGGAGAUGGAUUUUUUCUUCUAAUGAAGAGGAUGAGGAUGCCGGAGACAAGCACACCAAUUGUGGACCAGACAAUUGGGUUGAAUGAAUGUAAGGAGAGGUGUUCUAAGGAUUGUAAUUGUACCAGGUUUGCUAAUAAGGAUAUCCGAAAUAGUGGGUCGGGUUAUGUAAUUUGGACCGGAGAGCUCAUAGGUAUGAGGAAUUAUGUCGCCGGAGGUCAAGAUCUAUAUGUCAAAAUAGGCCUCUAUAAUUAGACAUGAAAAUAGGAGAAAAUUCUGCAUAAUUAAUCACCAAACACUUCGGCUCAAUUAAUCAGUUGGAUACAUAAACAAGUUAAGAACCAAAUCACAACAAUCAUAUGCAUGGGGGAUAGGCGAUAUGAUGUGGCUUUCCAAGUUUGGCUCGAGCUUGUUCUUGAUUCAUUUUCAUUUUGUAUCAAGAUUUAGUAUGUUUUUCUAAUCUCUCCAUCGAAAACACGAUGUACUAGUUGUAUAAACGUUAUUUUUUCUUUGAAUAUAAUUUAAUAUAAGAUACAAAAAAAAAUAGAAGAUAGAAAAUUCAUAUGAUCCGUGCUUUAUAGAUAUCCAUAUCCACUAAAAAAUAUUUAAGAGUAAUAAUACAAAAUUAGAAAUAAUAUUUUGAAAUUCAACUUUGAAAGUCUAUAUAUAUAAAUUAAACUUCAUAUCCGAUUAGAUCGAAAAUGAAUAUUGAAUUCGGAACAUUUUACCACCCCAGCGAAAUCAUGUUAUAUUUGAAAGUUUUCAGUGUGCAUAUGCGUUUUUAGUUUAUAUUGGAUGGAUUAAUUUGAAUGAUGAAUAAAAACGUAAAAUAUUGUAAGGGUUUGGCUUCUUGAUUACCAAAAAUAAAAUGGUAGCAGUUGUUUUAUAAUGGUAAUAGUCAAAUUACAAAAACCCGCAGACACAUAACACACAUAAAUAUUAGUUUACUGUUCAAAAGAGACCGGAGCACCAAUCUUGCUCCCUACUCUAAAGACACAUUCGUUCCAUGUUUGUUUGCUCUUUGGAAUGCCUUUAGAUGCUUUAUUUUUAUACUCAUAUGUGGCGAAUAUGAGUUUAACCAAUCCGAGAUGGCAAUCUUUUCCGAUCUUCAAUAUAUCACGACAACAUUCAUCUGUAAUUGGCACUGUCUCAUCUAACAUGUUCUUGAAAACCUCAUUUCCGCAUUUUGAGCUUGGCUUUUCAGAGCAAGCCUCAAGAAAAUCGAGCUGUUUAUGCGAGUAAUGGUGAGCAAGCUCCCUAUCAUAUUCCAUUGCGGGUGAAUCAGCUUCUUCGAAUGGAGCUUCACCAGGAGCUUCGACGUAAAUAUCAAACUUUGAAGAUGGAGAUAUGGCCACAUCUUUUGGCACCUCCUGUGAAUAUGGAUCAAUUUCUUGGGAGAAAAUUGGACGAGCCAUGUAAAACAUUACAAUAGACACGAGCGUUACCAUGAGUAGAGAUUUUGUCAUUUUUUUUAUGGAUGUAAGAAUACUUUUAGUAUUGAAUGUAAGAUUGAUGACAUGAAACAAGAAAACAAGAGAUUUUAUAGGUUAAUCACUAAAAGAUAUUUGUUCAUUAAUUAAUAGUUAUAUGUUACUAACUUCAACAUUUAAUAAUUUUGUUUAAGAUACGUUUAUAUUAAAGACUAUGCUAAUUUUACAAAGUUGUAACUUUAAAGAUAACAACACUCUCUUUAAAGACUAUGAUCGAACAUUACUGUAGAUUUUGGGCAAACUUAAAGAUAACAACACUCUCUUUUUUCUUCAAAUUAUUACAAAUCAAAAAUACUAUAUUAGACACAAUACGAUUACAUGCAUUGUUUUCACGCCUGAUCCGGACCGUCCGGUCCGACAUGGUAAUCCGCUACCCGGACAUUUUUCCUAUUUGGGUUUAGAACUAAUACUCGACAAUCUAAAACCAGAAAAAUCCACAAAAAAACCCUUCAUUAACUUGCGAUCUGGUGAAGCGAUUAAAACAGGCCGGCUAUGGGUUUUAAAAUUUUCAUUUGAUUUUGGAAUAGAAUCUAGGGUUUCAAACUAUAUUCACUUAUUUUUAGAACUUUUUCAUCAUUUAAUGUUUUAGAUUUGGUGAAGACUUCACAAUCCCGCUUUUAAAGAAUGAAUAGAAUUGUGAGAGAGAAAAAACAAAAUUCAUUAUUUUAAAUUCGUGAUGUUUUCUUAGUUUAUUUUCGUCAUCAAUGAUCUCUAGUAUUUCUGUUAUGGUUUUAGAUUUUAGUUGGACUUAAAAAUAAUAAAUAAAAUUUUAAUUGAUUAUUAUUGUUAGACUAAAAUGACGAUCGAAUAUUACAAUGAUUUAGUAUUCAUCAAAUUUAAUUAAAAUUUAGUUGUUUAUUAUUGUUAGACUUUUGUUAAACUUGGUAUUACUAUUUUUAUUUUUAUUUAAUAUAAACUAUAUAACUUUUCUAAAUAUUAAAUAUAUUAAAUAAUUUUUUUUUAAUUGACUUGUGGUCAAACCCGGUUGACACAAUGGCCAAGUGGCCCCAAAAGGCAGUCCGAUUCUUCGUGUGGGUUGGGUUUAAGAACCAUGUUAUUAUUUUAUUUUGUUAUCGAAAUUAAUCGAACUUUUUGGUUUUCUGGUCAAAAUUGAGUUAAAUAGGGGUAAAUUUAGUUGAUUGGGUUCGGUUAGUUUGAAAAUAAUUAAUUAAAAAAAAUGAAAAACAAAAAGGGUCGAGAGAGGUUAAAAUGGUCGAGAGAGGUUAAAAUGAUGAAGACGGUAGCGUUGCGUGAGCACAAGUCGAGGAUGGUUGUUUUUAAUGCAUUGUAUUUUUAUUUUUUAAAUAACGUUUAGCUGUCUGAAAAAACAGAAUGACAUACAAAGAGUCCAUCAUCUAUAAUCUCUCUACAACUUCUGUGGAUUAUGUAUCAAUUUGACCAUGUUUGACCAUCUGAAUAAAAAGGAGAUUUGUGGAAAAAAAUUCUUGUAGUCGUCUAUUUUUAUAACUUUAUCCUUCAUCUUAAAAGAAUACAAAAUAAUUUUUUGAAGUAAAAAAUAAUUCACAAUAUUUGCAGAAUAAUUUUAUAAAGUAAAAAAUAAUACAUAAUAUUGCUAUUGUUAAGUUUUCUCAUAUUUUUUAAAAUUUGAUAAGUAAUAUAUCAAUUCAAAGAACUCGAGACGAAAAGUUCAACUUACCUUUCUAUUUUUGAAAAUCAAAUGUAUGUGAACGAAAAAACGUUUAUAAUAUAUGUAUAAAGCCUAAAUUGCAUAUUAUUUUUUACUUUGAAAAAUUAUUUCGCAUUUUUCAAAAAUAGAGAGUAAUGUUACAAAAAUAAACGACUUUAAAGCUUUUUUUGCACCAAACCCUAAAGAAAAUCAUUGUAUUGUAUCUAAAUGAAUUCCUUGAGAACUACCAAGAUAAUAAGAAUAUUGUAUGUGGUCCAUCACUCUAUGUUAUUGUAAGUGUCUAUACAUAUAAUUUGCAAAAAGUGAUCCUCGUAUGAUUCAUAUCCGAGUGUAGACUAUAAAACUCAUGAAACUGUAGUCUCGUAGAAAUUACAAUAAUAUAUCUAGAAGGUGAUAAGUUAUUUAUGUUGUGGUACAGUGGGGAACCUAUAUUUGCAUGCCCCAAAGGUACCAAAUUCAAUCCUUUUAACUACACUAUUUUUUUUUUUUCUUACCCUUUUGAUUAAUAGGCUAAAAUUUCACAAUUAAACCUGAAUAUUAUAUUUGUACCUAAAAAACAAAAAAAUGAAUAUUAUAUAGUUUUCGAUUGGUUGGUGGCAUCAUUAAAUUUUAGUUAGAAAGAUCAAACACGUUGAUCACUCGAGUCACCUAAUCAAAACAAGUUAAACACGAAUAUUUUAUUAGUCUCAAUCUAUCAUUAUUUCAAUGCUGGUACCGAAAAUCAUCAUUUAAACAAAAAGUCUUAUAUUGGCUCUCUCUUCAACUUUUAAUUUUCUACCAAACAUAUACAUCAAAGCUUGACUCUCUUUUUCUCUCCCAUGGAAUCAACAAAGAAGCAAGUCUCGUUGGAGCUACUUCCAUGGUUAGUUGUCCACACCGAUGGAACGGUAGAGAGACUAGCGGGAACCGAGGUUUGUCCUCCCGGUUUGGAUCCAAUAACCGGGGUUUUCUCUAAAGAUAUCAUUAUCGAACCGAAAACCGGUUUAUCUGCCCGAAUCUAUCGACCCUUCUCGAUUCAACCCGGUCAGAAGAUUCCUCUCAUGCUCUAUUUUCAUGGCGGUGCAUUUCUCAUCUCCUCCACUUCCUUCCCCUCUUACCACACCAGUCUUAACAAAAUUGUCAAUCAGGCUAACGUCAUAGCCGUCUCUGUCAAUUACAGGUAUUAAUCCGGUUUAAGUUGACUUGUUUCACCCAAUUUUGAAUGGUCCGGUCGCAUUGGUUUAAUGCCAUCGCUGUCUUGUCAAUAACGAAAGCUAAUCCGGUUUACGUUGACUUAUUUAACCCAAUAUUACAUGGUCCGCUCGCAUUCGUUUAAUGUUGAAUGCAAGAACGUAUUGAAUUUAAAACUCAACUAGGCAUUUUUGUUGUUUUCGGUUUAGUUCGGGUUAAAAUCGAAAUAAAACCGAGUUAUUAGAUCAUUUUAGCUUGGUUUGAAAAUUUUGGUUCCAUUUGGAUUUGAGUUUGGUUGAAAAUGCAAAUUAUAAUAUAAAUAUUUAAAUUAAUUAUAUAUUUAGUAGUUAACUUUAGAAAUAUUUUGAUUAAUAUGGUUAGAUUACCAAUGGUUGGCUUUGGUUUGAUUUCAUCCUUUAUUAAACUUGGUUUUCUGCAAAACAACCAUUCAAAUCAAUCUUGUUUGCAAGUUUACCUUCCAAGUAUGAAUUAUGCAAGUCAAUCCUACAAUCUCAAAAGUCACCCGCAAUACAGUCCUCCCGUGUAGUGAUGACGUGGUACUCGAUAACUCUUUUUAAAAACAUAAGGGUUUUGAAAACUUAAUAUAGUUAUAGAGAAAUUGGGUUUGAGUUAUUUUGGUUUGAUUUGGUUGUUGUGUCCACCAUAACAAUAAUCAAAAUUGUUUUAUAUUAUCUUUUUGAUCAAUUAUUGGACAUAGACUAGCACCAGAACAUCCACUUCCUACAGCGUACGAAGACUCAUGGACUGCGCUAAAGAAUAUCCAAGCCAUAAACGAGCCGUGGAUCAACGACUACGCCGACUUGGACAGUUUAUUCCUAGUGGGAGAUAGCGCGGGAGCUAAUAUCUCGCACCACCUCGCAUUUCGAGCCAAACAAUCUGACCAAACCUUGAAAAUCAAAGGCAUUGGAAUGAUCCACCCAUAUUUUUGGGGGACACAACCUAUCGGAGCAGAGAUCAAAGACGAAGCGAGGAAACAAAUGGUGGACGGAUGGUGGGAAUUCGUGUGCCCAUCCGAGAAAGGAUCCGAUGACCCGUGGAUUAAUCCGUUUGCGGACGGGUCACCGGAUCUUGGAGGGUUAGGGUGUGAGAGAGUGAUGAUUACUGUGGCGGAGAAAGAUAUAUUGAAUGAGAGAGGGAAGAUGUAUUACGAAAGAUUGGUGAAGAGUGAGUGGAAAGGAAAGGUUGAGAUUAUGGAGACGAAAGAGAAAGAUCAUGUUUUUCAUAUUUUCGAGCCAGAUUGUGAUGAAGCUAUGGAGAUGGUACGAUGCUUGGCUCUCUUUAUAAACCAAGUUGAAGCUUGAUAUUAUUUGUUUUGCCAAAAUUUGAUGGCUUUUUUAAUGUUUGUAUAAUUUUUACAUGUUUGUUAAUGUUGUUGUUAUUGUCUUUUCUUUUAAAUUUGUGUAUUACAUUUAUAUGUGGUUAAAUUUGUGUUUUUUCUAAGCUCUUCGAUUUAUCACUCCGUUUACUCCAUCUACGUGCCAAGAACAAGACAAAAUAGAUUGGGCUAAGUCAUUUCAUGAAUCACGUAAGAAUUUAACACACUCUUCUUUGAAACCUAAUUUACUCGACAGUUCAUUAACAUAUUUUUUAAGGGCCAUAUACUUUAUUUACUUGUUGACAAUUUCAAAAGUCGUAAUGUUUCUACCUUUUGCAAAUUCAGUGUCCAAAUAAUAAAGAUUCCAGCGGUGGUGAUAACUAGCUAGCCCAUAAAUUGAUGUCCUUGUCUGAUCUAGAUUUGCUUCAAAGUCAUAAUAUAGUGUGCAGGAGCUAAAUUAGUAACAAUACAGAAAAUGUAAUUCAAAUUAAAAUAAAAAACGUUUAAGGAAAGUGGAGACGAGACUAAUCUCUUUCUUUAACCCUUUGAAUCACUCAUAGAGCUAUGGAAAUAUGUGAUCUAAGAGUCCCGGGAUACAACCAAACUCAUUCGGUAUUACAAGCACUCGAACACAUGGUUCUAACGUUUUAUUAAACUAUGAUACUUUCGAGACACUUACUCAAACAUGUAGAGAUUGAUGGAGCUUUUGUUUCUGCUAUAUGUGUGUAAACGAUCAAGUUCUUAAUCGGUGAAAAAGAUGACUUGAAUCGUGGGUUUAAAUAGAGGUUUGAGAUUACUAGGUUUGAAUUUGUUUUCCAACAAAUAUAUUCACGUCAGUCAGAAAUCUAGCAAUAGUGGGUGUCGAUGACUUGAUCUCUCAACACUCCUAUUCUCAUGGUGUUGAGGAAGCGAUGAAAAGCGAGUCAUCAGAGACGUGAAAUAGAACGACUUAUUUUCUCACGUUCAAUAUUCGGCCCAAAAACCUUUGGGAGUUCCACCACGAUCUGGACCAAACCACCUGGCUCAUUUCUUUUCAUACAAAUUGAUUUUACUAAACCCAUUUGGACUUUAGCAAAAAUUGGCCCAACACAGUUUCCUUUUAUCAAACAGUUAUUUUCAGAACUUUAAUGCAUCUUAUUACCCAUCUACAGCUUUCAAAUGCUCCUCAUGGUUAUAGACAGAGGUUAAAGGUUUAACCGCAAUUUAUGUUAUUCUCGUGUUAUUGAGUUAUAUCAUGUGCUUUGUUUCAUCUCAACACAUUUGAACAUAGCAUCAUAUUUAUUGGAAAUCACACACAAGAUUAAUAAAUGACACAUUAUUUAAUUGUAUAGCAUAUAUGUUAACAUAUUAAAAUUAAAUAUAAUGCGUACUAUUGAUUUAUAAUGCGUAUGAUUUUCUUUCUUAAGCUAACUACAUUUCAACAUAUAUAGCAUGCUAUAUAAAGACACAAUACACACGCAAUAAACAAAUAACAUGUUAUCAGAACAUAAAAUAUGUCACCCGUUUUAUGUUCACAAUGACAUGAUAUGCAUGGACACUGAAGGGUAUCGCCCAUGACUUCUCAUUUUUACACAUUCUCCUCCCAUUUCUGCAUAUCACUCGAUUAGGAGGUUGGAUACACUCUAGGCCUAGUUUUGGUGGUCGGUAGAACUAAUCUGGACGCUUUUAGUGUUUUCUUUUCGCCACGAAAAAAAUAAUCGAUUGAAUAAAUCGGUUGUAAUUACAUAGUUGAAUACGAUAGAUAACGAGAUCAUAUAUAAUUAUAAAAAGCAAAGCGUAGGCCAUGGGCUAGAGAACCUAGCAUGUACUGUACUUUCGGGGACAAGCCAUAGUGGAAGGUGAUCCAUCUUACGCAUGAAAACUCCUGUUCCGUUUGAUUUGAAAGUUUGAUAGUCAUUUUUACUCUCAUGUUGUUUAUUUUGUAAUAUCAAACAACCUUUUCCUCUACCAACCUUCUCUUUAAUCGGUGCUGCUUACUACUAAAUAUCUAAAGGUAUAAUGAUAGAAUACUCAUGAACAAAAAAAUACGCACUUUGAAUGUAUUUAGGUAAAUACUCGUGAAAAAAUGGUAGAAGAAUAUAUUUAGUUUUUUUUUUCUUGUGGUAAAAUAAGCAUACGAAUUACACCAUAAAAGAAAACUGAGCCAAAAUUCAUCACUCGGAACCAGACCAAAUUUUGUUUUAACGUAUGAUAUAGAAAUUUCUGUUUAGAAGUAUGAAACCGAAUUGAGCUGGAUAUUGUCCAACAGAAUAAAUUAACCAAAAUUCAAUAAUUUUUAAUCUUUAAGUUAAAUAUAUAGACAAAAUUAAUAUAUACUAAAAAAUUUCAUAUGUUAAAUAAAACUGAUUAAUUAAUUUUAUUUUAUUUCAUAAUUCUUUAAUCCAAAACCGAAUUAAACCAAACCGAUAUAAAAUUUGAUUCUGUAUUUCCAAAAAUACAAAACCUGAAAAAUUCACAUUUUUAUUUUUAUUAUAUUUCUAUUUGUUUGCCUCAAAUAAAGCCUCUCUUGCCUCCAAUAUAUCUCUGAAUGCUCGUCUUAAAUUAAAAAUUCCUAUAUUCUAUCUGUUUCUAAAUAAAAACAUUUGUUAGAGUUUUCACAUAUAUUAAGAAAAUAUAUUAAAAGCUGACUAUAAAUAUAUAUAUAUAUAUAUAUUUUUUAUGAUUUACAGUUUUAAAUUAUUUAAACCGAUAAUAUUCAAAUAUUUUUUUUGAAGUUUACAUUUCAUCAAAAUAACUAAUAAAUAUUGCGUAGAUAACCUAAAAACUUUAUUUUAAAAAACAAAUAUUUUUGAAAAACAAGAUAAAAAAUCUAUUAUUUAGUAACAGACAGAGUAGCAUAUUAAGUUCCUAGGGAGCUUCACACACAUUGGUCCUGAAUAAUAUGAUCCAAAUAAACAUGAAAUAAACUGAGCAUGUAAAUGCAUGGGCCAUGUAUACAAUACAGAGCAGACAUGGAAAGUUGGAAACAUAUGGAAGUAUGAAUCACCUGGAUUACAUAAUAUACUCAGACAUCAUAAAACAUCAUCAUUCCAUUUUUGAAGUAAAAAAUUUCCCCACAUUUUAGAUUUUAUUUAAGACAAAUGCUCUUCUCUUGUAUUUUCUAUAUAAAUAUCGAAAAUCACAUUCUUCUAGUUUCCACACCUUAUGUUCUCCAAUCCAACACAUAUAUUUUCUUUCACAAAAAAAGACAUAUUUUACCUUGUUUUGUUUUACAUAUUCUUAUAUUUUAUCGAUUUGUCUUUGUCCCCGGCUCAUGGGAAUGUCGAAUAGGUCAGUUUCUACAUCCAUUUUUUUCCUUGCAUUGGUGGUUUUGCAUGGAAUUCAGGACACAGAAGAGAGACAUUUGAAAACUACUUCGUUAGAGAUUGAGGGAAUUUAUAAAAAAACUGAGGCCGAGCAUCCUAGCAUUGUGGUCACAUAUACACGGCGUGGUGUCCUUCAGAAGGAGGUCAUUGCCCACCCCACAGACUUUAGGCCAACAAAUCCCGGAAACAGCCCAGGCGUUGGACACUCUAACGGGCGACAUUGAUUCGAUCAUAUCAUACGUCAUAAUCUUAUAUCAUAUAGAAAAUUACAUGUAUUUUCAUUCAGACUUGUCUUCUAAUGCUAAAGGGGUGUUUGGACAUCACUUUAUCAUUUCAAUGUUUUGACAGUACUAUGAUCAUUAUGUCUUUGUCGUGGGUUUGUUACACUGUCACGUAUUGUAAGAUUAUAUAAUGAAUGAAUUGCUUUUAAAAAUUAAUAUAUACAUUAAUGAUAAAUCCCUUGCUAAACUGUCUAUGAUUGCUAGUUGAUCAAUGGGUUUCAUUAAAUAUAGACCUAACUGAAAACACUUUAAGAAGAAGUUUAGUAGGAAAUAUUUACUUAUCACGCUUUGUUUUGGGUCAAUGGUUAAAUUAUUUCUAAAUACGAAUUCUUAGACGAUAUAGAAUAACAGAGUUAAAAUAUUCAAAAUGUUUAUGGACUAACGAUAUGCUCAUUGAGAUGAAGCUUUUAUUAAUUAAUACCCAAUCUCAGUCUUUUAGGUCCCUCGUUUUUUUUCCUUGCUUUACCAUCUUUGUUUAUCUUCUUUUCUUUUAUAUUUUUAUUUUUGGUAUCAAUGCUAAGUAUUUAUACAAUUUUCAAAAAAUUUAACAGAAAAUACACGAAUAUCGGAAAAGACUGAGAAGCUAACAAAAAGAAUGAAAACUACAAUAAAACGCAACAAGGAAAAAACACAAGCGAUAACCCAUCUAGUUGAUUCUAAGAAGAUUCAUGAUUGUCUCAGUUUCAAAGAACUCGACUCCGCAUCGCUGUUGCCAUGAGCAAACUCUUCCCUAGGCAAGCCUUCAAAUCCUCAUCUUUCCAAAUAUAAGGUUCUCCUUCAAGAGCCAACUCUUAAGUAUAUUUAUUUUGUUGAUUUGAGAAUAGUACUUGGAAAGAAGAUUACUGAUUGGUUCAUGGUAAAGUUAUUAAGUACUCUCAUAUCUGCCAUCGGCGAGGAACUCACAUAUGGGAGGUUGACAUUAACGGAGCUGCAUAUUCUAUUUUCAUAUUUUUUAACAUGGAUGCGAAUGUUACAUAAGAAAUGAACGGUUUUGUUUUACCAAAAAUCUUUAGAGGCAUUUUGUUUCAUUUCCAAAAAAUAAGAAUGAAAGGUUUUGUUUACCAAAAAUUAUAUUACUCUACCCUUUACUUUAGAUAUUCAAAUUCAUGACAUUGAAGAUUUUUGUUUGGCAAUUAAUUAGUCACUAACUAAACUACCUACAUCGUCUUUAACUCUUUAUGAAAACAAAACAAAAACUAUCAACAUCGCACAUAAUAAUUGAUUUUUUUUAAAACUCUUUUGUUAAUUAAUUACUACUCUAAUUAAGUUAUCUACGUCGCACUAAACUUGGGUUAGUUAAAAAAAAAAUUACAAGUUAAAAGGUUCCUAAAUCAACAAUCUUAAAAUGUUAGUUUUCUCUAAUCCCAUUUCUCAAAUGUUAGUUUUGCAGCAACAAUCUUUAUGUAGAUAUUUUGUUUCACAAUUUUUUUCUUUUUCCUCUAUUUAAAAACUAGAAAGUAAAACCAAAAAAUAAGUUAAGAAAAUAAUAAACAAAAAAGGAAAAAAGAAAAGCAGAAAAAGAAAAGUACAACAUACGAGAGAAUCUAAAAAACAAACACUCAUAAUAGAAACAAAACAAACAAUCAUCAAAAACCUACGGUCAAGAUCUAACUCUCUCCGUACAAUCCAACGGUUUUCACUAAACUAGGUCAGAACUAAACCGUAUCUUUAAAACCUAGCAGAACACACACAGAAACCCAUAAACCCGACCCGUAUUUGCCAGUUACCACAAUAACCGGAUUAAAACCCCUAAUUUCGACCUAAACUUUGCCAUUAAUAGAUAUCUCAAACACAACUCUCAAAACUUGCCCUGUUUGGUCCGAAACCGAAACUAACCCUAAUCUCACAUCACAUCACAUAGCAAUCACUUCACAUCACAAAACACCUCAUAGCCGCAAAAUUUAAUGGCAGACGUCAAGAUUCAAUCCGAAUCCGAAUCCUCGGAUUCUCAUCCAGUGGUCGACAAUCAACCACCUCCUCCGCCUCCGCCGCCGCAACAGCCGGCGAAAGAAGAGGAGAAUCAACCAAAAACAUCUCCGACUCCGCCGCCACACUGGAUGCGGUAUCCACCAACGGUGAUAAUCCCUCAUCAGAUGAUGUACGCGCCGCCGCCGUUCCCACCUUAUCAUCAGUAUCCGAAUCACCACCACCUUCACCAUCAAUCUCGUGGUAAUAAGCAUCAAAACGCUUUUAAUGGUGAGAAUAAAACCAUAUGGGUUGGUGAUUUGCAUCACUGGAUGGAUGAGGCUUAUCUUAAUUCUUCUUUUGCUUCCGGCGACGAGGUUUGCUUCUCUCUCUCUGUCAUUAUUGCAAAACAUUUAUGUAUCUCUUGAUUAGAUUCUGUUUUCGUUGACUUUUAAUGCUUUGACCUUAAAAACGUUGCCUUUUUCAGUUUCUCUCUGUACUUGCUGACAAAGUUUGCUUAUAUAUCUAUGUAACUGGCUGACUCGGUUUGAUCUCUCUUUCUUUGUGAAUUUGGUCUAAAGGUGUGUUCUUUAUGUUUAAUACAGAGAGAGAUUGUUUCGGUGAAGGUGAUUCGUAAUAAGAACAAUGGUUUAUCAGAAGGAUAUGGAUUUGUGGAGUUUGAGUCCCAUGAUGUAGCUGAUAAGGUUUUGCGGGAGUUUAACGGGACGACUAUGCCAAAUACUGACCAACCUUUUCGUUUGAACUGGGCUAGUUUUAGCACCGGUGAGAAGCGGUUAGAGAACAAUGGACCUGAUCUCUCUAUUUUCGUGGGGGAUUUGUCACCAGAUGUUUCGGAUAAUUUGUUGCACGAGACCUUCUCUGAGAAGUAUCCGUCGGUUAAAGCUGCGAAAGUUGUCCUUGAUGCUAAUACUGGUAGGUCAAAGGGGUAUGGGUUUGUGAGGUUUGGUGAUGAGAAUGAAAGGACCAAAGCAAUGACUGAGAUGAAUGGUGUUAAAUGUUCUAGUAGAGCUAUGCGCAUCGGUCCUGCUACCCCGAGGAAGACUAAUGGUUAUCAACAACAAGGUAAGUUCUUUCCAAUGCCACUAUCUUUGUUUUAUAAUCUACUUGGAUAGUUCUAUGAAGUUUCAUUAGAAAUCUGCUCAUUGUUAGGUUCUUGGUAUUGCAACAAUAUGUUUUACUCUCUUGUGUACUUUAACUAUUUGAUGGAUUUGGCAGGUGGAUACAUGCCGAAUGGUACCUUGACGCGUCCUGAAGGGGACAUAAUGAACACAACAGUAAUUGUUUUUCCGUAGUAUCUUCUUGUUUUCAACCUUUCAUGUGAAUGUGACAAGAGAAGGUUAAUCUUCUUUUGUUUUUGUUUUCCCCUUUAAUCUGUUUUAUAACAUAGAUAUUUGUUGGAGGGCUUGACUCUAGUGUCACUGAUGAAGACUUAAAGCAACCUUUCAAUGAAUUCGGGGAAAUAGUCUCUGUCAAGAUUCCUGUUGGUAAAGGAUGCGGAUUUGUUCAGUUUGUUAACAGGUAAGUAUCUUAUUUAACUAUGAAUUAAGUAUUUUCUUAUCGUACUAUAAUCGAUUUGAUGCUUACACAUUUGCUUGCAGACCAAAUGCAGAGGAGGCUUUGGAGAAACUAAAUGGGACUGUAAUUGGAAAACAAACAGUUCGGCUUUCUUGGGGACGUAAUCCCGCCAAUAAGCAGGUAAAUCCCACUUUCAGUCUAAUCAUGUAGGAAAAACCUAAAACUGUUCUCUUUUAUAUUAAAGAUAGACUGGUUUUGUGUUGGAACCCUUAUGUGUACCUAGUCUGAGAUAAUCUAAGCUGACUUUAUCAUCCGAGUUUCAUUGAUAAAACUUCCUAGGGCAUUUAGUUCAGUUCUUUGGUUUUUUUCUUUCUUCUGUUUAUGGUUUGGUUAGGUAUUAGGUAAAAAACGUUUAUGAAAUGUUAACUUCAUGAAUGUUAAACGUAUUUCUGAUAUAUAUUUAAUUUAGAAUAGUAUUUUUGAAGAAUUUCCAAUCAUUUUAUUUGGUUGCACUAAGUUUUAUCUUAGUUUGGUUUGGUAUAAGGCUACUAUUAUGGUUUCGCUUGAAAGAAAGUUUGGUGUGGUGUGGUUUUAACGUCCACCCAUGAAGUACUUCACUUAUGUGAUUAGCUUUGAAUGGCUCUGCUUGACACAUCUCUGAUUCUUACAAGUUUUAUGUUGUGUUGCAGCCUAGAGAUAAGUAUGGAAACCAAUGGGUUGAUCCGUACUAUGGAGGACAGUUUUACAAUGGGUAUGGAUACAUGGUACCUCAACCUGACCCGAGAAUGUAUCCCGCUGCACCUUACUAUCCAAUGUACGGUGGUCAUCAGCAACAAGUUAGCUGAGGAAACUAAAAGCUUAAUCUGAGCAUCUAUCUAUAGGACAACAAAAACUCACUCAGGUUAGGUGAUGUUAGGAAGAACAAGGCAAAAAUUGUUGGCUUCUUGUCUCUCCUUGAGUUUAGGGUUUAUCAUCUAGUGGACAUCGAAUUUUUGGUGGAAACCAUACAGUAAUUUAGGGGACUUGGAUUUGAUUGAUUAAUUUUAUUUGUUUCUUCUGAUACUUUUGACUAUGGAAGUUAUUGAUCAAGAAGAAGUGAGUUGCACCAAUUGAUUAUAUCUAUUUUUUGUUAUUAGUCUAAAUACUUAGGUUUUAUUUUGUUGUUGUGUUUGGAGGUAGUUAUCGCCAUCAGGCCACAGCUAAUAAUGAUCCUCAAGUUAGCUUUUAUAUCCUUUAUUAUUUUUAAGGUCUCAAAGCCUCUUUCGACUGUCUCAAUUAGGAGGCGUAUAAACUUAGCUAUUUUGUAUUGGUGGUACACACAUAGUAUUAGAAUAGCUAGAACCUAGAAAGAUCAGAACUUGCAAUGGAAAAGUUGGGCACAAUCCUUAGUAUCACCGCAUAGUUUUAAUACAAUGUCGUCGUAAAUCACAUCCAAUCAAUAAUGAUUCUACGUAAAACCUUUUAUAUAUCUCAGACAUAGAACAUAGUGAAGUAGUAUAUCUUAUACUUUGAAGAAGGAGAAAUCCGAAAAGGCCUGAAAGGCUGGAACAAUGAGAAAUUUUAGGACAGAAAAUUAAACAUUCUGUACAUUAUACAUUAUUUAACAUUUUUAUACAAAGAGUUAUGCAUAUAACAAAUAUAAAUGUUUAAAACCGAUAUUUAAUUUGUGUAAUGCGCCGGCAAAAAAAAAUAAAAAAUUGUGUAAUGUAGAUGUCUAUUGGUUCACACCUACAUCAAGUGCCGAAAGAGGAACAUAAAUCCUUUUCCCUCAACCGUAUCUAAUUAGGUGCUUAAUUUGGUACGUAGUUUUGUUAUAUUUGGUUUGUAGUUUGUUUUUUUUUAUUUGUUUUCUCUAUAAAAAAAAUAUUAUUAAUUUUUUAUAAUGAGUUGGAAUAAGGUGAAUUACACGUAUCAAAAAACGAUAUCGGAAAACAAAACAGAAUCAGAAAAAGGGCUCGAAUCUUGGUAUACCAUCGAAAAGAAACAGCUGUUCAUGAGUUCCGGCGGAUGCAAGGUCCACAACUUCACGAGAGAAUCAAGAGACCGAAAAAAAGCGACGAAAGCAAUCGGUUUCCCUGCUUCCGUGUUAGAAUAUUGAGAGAAAAAGAAAAGACAGAGUAAGAGAUAAAUAUAUAUUCUCUUGUAAAGAAAACAAGAACGAAAAUAGAAAACUUUUAAUGAAUCUGAAACUUGUUAGUUAUUUACAUGACGAUACAAUGAAUAUAUAUAUAUAGAAAACAAGUAGACACAACAACACAAUGAGUUUUGUCUCUUCCUACUUGUGGAUCUCCUGACAUAUAACUAUCUUAAUACAUAAAACUUUAAUAUAAUCAGAAACUCAAUUAUCGACCAACAUUCCCCCUUAAUUGAGUUUCUGAUUUACUUCAAACUUCUUCCUUUGUUCUUCUCUUUGUUACACAAUUUGAUACUCUUUGUCAAUUUUGUUUCUUCUGCAAGACAAUUGAACUUGUGGCCUUUCUCUUACCACCGGUAUUUCUCCAUGUCUUUGAGGUAAGCAUCUUCUUAUGCUCCAUUUUUUCUCCGAGGUAAGCAUCCUCUUACUCUCCAUUUUUUCUUUGAGGUAAGAAUCCUCUUGUGCUCCAUUUUUCACUGAGGUAAGCAUCCUCUUAUGCUCCAUUUCUCUUUGAGAAAAGCAUCCUUUUGUGCUCCAUUUUUCUCGGAGGUUAACAUCCUCUUAUGCUCCAUUUUUUUUUUGAGGUAAGCAUCCUCUUGUGCUUCAUUUUUUUUCCGAGGUAUGUAUCUGUUAUGCUCCCAUUUUUCUCUAAGGUAAACAUCCUCUCUUGCUCCAUUUUUCUCUGAGGUAAGCGUCCUCUUAUGCACCAUUUUUUCUAUGAGUUAAGCAUCCUCCUUUCUUGCUUGGUGUUUCUCUUUGAUCACAAUCACGUCUUUGUGACGUCUCUUCUUCGAUUAACCUUUUUGCUGAGUAGCCUUGCACUAUUCUUCCAACAGAAACUUACUCCGUGUUGUAGUCUUCUUCACAACUCAACCACACCUUUUGUUAGUAAGCUGAUACGUUCAUGAGAAGAAGCUGGAGUAAUGAGUUGGGACGUGAGAACACACGUGAGAGAUUGGAGUCACGUGUGAAGAAACUUAUAAAUAGUAAGAGAGAGUAGAGAGAAAAGUAUCCUGCGUGAUCAUUGAUGUGUAAAGAGGAUUAAAGCUUUGUGUGCUCUGUUCUUUGGAGAUAAGAGUGGAGAACUGUAACUCCAAGCUUAUCAAUUUAGGGUUUUGAUUCAUUGUAAUGGGAUUUUAAGGAUAAGAAAGAGAGAUUCAUAGUUUCAUUCUUAUCAUAAGCCUUGCUCUGUUUCUUACAACAGGCGACUUCCUUCUCCGUCUUGUUUCAGUUGGAUUCUCAACUUCAUCAAGUGAUGCUUCUUUGCAUGCUUGAACUUCACCAAGACAUUGUUGAACAAAGUUUCAGAAUUCUCCUUCCACAACUCCAAAUCCUCAUCCAUUUCUCCCUUGCCUUUAGAGAAGCUUUCCUAUCUUCUUCAUCCCUUUUUGGAGCCUUCCUCUUGAAGGUACGAUAUGUGAAACUGUUUGUAAUUGAUUGUACUCUCUCCUAUUCUUUUCUUCCUUUUUUUGUUUCUUCUUCUUCUACUUUUUAUUUUUCUUUUUUUCUCUUCGGUUUCUCACCGUUGAUUUGUUGUCUCCUUCUUUCUCUUCUUCUCACAGCGGAAUUCUUGUUAUCCAUUUUUUACUUGGACAUGCUCCAAGACCAAGAUAAGCUUUGAUACCAUGUUGGAAUAUUGAGAGAAAAAGAAAAAAUUGAGUAAGAGAUAAAUAUCUCUUCUCUUGUGAAGAAGACAAGAACGAAAAUAGAAAACUUUUAAUGAACCUGAAACUUAUUAGUUAUUUACAUGACGAUACAAUGAGUAUAUAUAGGAAACAAGUAGACUCAACAACACAAUGAGUUGUGUCUCUUCAUACUUGUGUCUCUUCCUACUUGUGUCUCUUGACAAAUAACUACCUUAAUACAUAAAAUUUUAAAUCAGAAACUCAAUUAUCGACCAACACUCUGACCCACCAAUCCAGUACAAACCUCCGAAAAGGAGUAGCUAUUCGACAACCGACGUGUCCGUCUUCCAAUCUCGUUCCUAGCAACCAGACGAACUCAGAUUUAUCCUCUUUUUCUCCGAUCCGAUUAGGAGGAAGCGAAUUGUGGGAGAAACCAAGGUUGAUGGCUCAAGCAAGUACUGAGAAUCCAAAAUCCACAAAAGCUUUCUAAAAUCAAAGUGGAUCUACAAUUAACCUCCAUGACGAGUAGUAGUGAAAGCAAGAUUUUUUGGUUGUUUGGAGAUAGUUUCUAAUGAUCUAUAUUAACAUUUUAGAAAUACAUUUUAAGGAAUCCAAUCGGGUGAGUUGGAUCUUGCCUAAUUUCUACAAAAACAGAAGAUACUUACUAUAAAUUAAUGAUAGUUCAAAAUCAAAGUGUAAUAUUUAGUUUGUCUUUCAAUAAGUUUUAAUCAGUUAGAAUAAAUUUUUAAAUUGACUCGAAUUACAUAUAUUUUAAAUAAAAAUAUUAUUAUAAAAAAGAACAAAAUGAUGUUUAGUUAUUAUGGGAUGGGUUAUUAUUGUGAGAUAGGUUUAGAUGAGACAUGUUUUUAAGACGGGAUGGAUUUAGAUGAGACAGUUUUUUUUUUUUUUUUUUAACAUCUUCUUUUCCAUUGUUAUUAUGAUCAAAAGUUUUCCAGCUGUAAGGCUGAAGAAAUUACAAUCGGAAUGUAAUCAUAAAAUUUAAAUUGUUCAUUCUGGGGUAAGUGACUCUUGGCAAGAAUAUCCGCCGGUUUGUUCUGUUUUCGGUUGAUCCAUGUGAAUCUGCAUUCCUGAAACCGUUGCUUCCAAGCUUGAACAUCUCUUAUCCAAUUAAAGGUAUCAAAACGUGAUUUUCUCCUAUUGAGGAUUUCCAUCACCUCCCUGUUAUCUCCUUCAAACCAGAUUUUUCUAUGACCGUGGCUCCAACAGCUUUGCAUUGCGAUAAGAAGAGCUUGAAACUCGCUUUCUAGAGCAUUAGAAGUGUGGUUCCCUGUCGCUUGACCUGCACCUACAAAUUGGCCCGACUCAUCUCGAAUUACCCAUCCAGCCUUACUUGGCAUCUCCCGAUUGUACGAUCCAUCAUAGUACAACAACAACUUAACAAACUAUCUGCAACAACUCCCGCUAUGGAUCUUUUGGCGCUUAUGGAAGAGUCGAAAUAUUCUAACUUUUCAGAAAAGGUGCAUUCCAUGGGACGAUAAUCUUCGAUUAGCAAAGAGAGACGCUUCUGAAUGGCAGGACAUUGCGGAUCACCCCCAACUAUCAGCACCAUCCCACCGGCGACAACAUGAUGAUCAGAGAACAAGCUGUUGGACAAGACCACCCCACGGCUGAAAGAAGGAGACAGGUUUAUAUGGCGGGAUGAGUUUUGAUCGAUAUUAAUAUGAGACAUCUCAAUAAAAUUCAAUAUUAUAGUAUAUCAAAAUAAAUGCUAAUCUUUUUUGACACAUCUAAAUGUGUAUUUGUAAUACAAAGUUACUAAAUUACGUAUGUUCUACGAGUUAAAUCUAAAAGCAUCGAAAAUUUAAAUUAUAUAAUUUUAAUACAAAAUUAAUAAAUAGAAAAUAAAAUAUUGUCAUGUGGUAUACUUUUGGUCAAGUCCUAAAAAAUAAAAAAAUAUGAAACUUAUUAAUAUCGUAAACUUACGACUCAUUAAAAACCAUACACAAACUUAUCAAAAAUUAUUAACCAACACAAAUAACCAUAAUCUAAUAUAUAACAAAUUCUAAUUUUAUAAAAAUUAAAAAAUAAAUAAAAUAUUUAACAUGCAGUGUAUUUCAGAUUAUAUCCUAAUUUGUUAUCAAUAGACGAAGAAAUUGUUAUGUUUCAAAAAAAAAUCUUUAGCAAAUAAAAAAAGGAAGCUGAAAAAUAAGUUAGAAGUCCAAAUUAAUAAGCCGGUUGCAUGAAAAAAGAAGUCAGAAAAAAAGGAAAGUACAACAUCGGAGAGAAUCUAAAAACAAACACUCAUAAUAGCAGUAUAUAACAAACAAACAAAAAAAAAAAAAAACGGUUAAGAUCUAAACUCUCUCCGUACAAUCCAACGGUUGUCACUAAACUAGGAUGGCUUUAAACCUAGUAACUCACAUAAACCCAAAAACCGGACCCGUAUUUGCCAGUUACCACCGAAACCGAAUCAAAAACCCUUAAUUUCGACCUAAACUUUGCCAUAUUAAUACAACUCUCAAAACACAACUCUCAAAACUUCCCCUGUUUGGUCCGAAACCGAAACUACUAACCCUAAUCUCUCACAUCACAUAAACAAUCACUUCACAUAGCCGCAAAAUUUAAUGGCAGACGUCAAGGUUCAAUCCGAAUCCGAAUCCUCGGAUUCUCAUCCCUUGGUCGACUAUCAAUCACUUCCACCUUAUCCUCCGCCGCAUCCACCGGUUGAAGUAGAGGAGAAUCAACCAAAAACAUCUCCGACUCCGCCGCCGCCACACUGGAUGCGUUAUCCACCGGUGUUAAUGCCUCAGAUGAUGUACGCGCCGCCGCCACCGAUGCCGUUCUCACCUUAUCAUCAAUAUCCGAAUCACCACCACUUUCACCAUCAAUCUCGUGGUAAUAAGCAUCAAAACGCUUUUAAUGGUGAGAAUAAAACUAUUUGGGUUGGUGAUUUGCAAAACUGGAUGGAUGAGGCUUAUCUUAAUUCUGCUUUUACUUCCGCCGAAGAGGUUUGCUUCUCUCUCUCUCUCUCUGUCAUUAUUGCAAAACAUUUAUGUAUCUCUUGAUUAGUGUCUUAGAUUGUGUAUUAACAGUUUCUUGAUUCUGUUUCGUUGACUUUUAAUGCUUUGACAUGCCUUUUUCAGUUUCUCUAUGUACUUGUUGGUAAAGUUUGCUCUGUUUUUUUCUUUCUUUGUGAAUUUGGUCUAAAGGUGUGUACUUUAUGUUUAAUGCAGAGAGAGAUUGUUUCGCUGAAGGUGAUUCGUAAUAAGCACAAUGGUUCAUCGGAAGGAUAUGGAUUUGUGGAGUUUGAGUCCCAUGAUGUAGCUGAUAAGGUUUUGCAGGAGUUUAACGGGGCGCCUAUGCCAAAUACUGACCAACCUUUUCGUUUGAACUGGGCUAGUUUUAGCACCGGUGAGAAGCGGUUAGAGAACAAUGGACCUGAUCUCUCUAUAUUUGUUGGGGAUUUGGCGCCAGAUGUUUCGGAUGCUUUGUUGCACGAGACCUUCUCUGAGAAGUAUCCGUCGGUUAAAGCUGCCAAAGUUGUCCUUGAUGCUAAUACUGGUAGAUCAAAGGGGUAUGGGUUUGUGAGGUUUGGAGAUGAGAAUGAAAGGACCAAAGCAAUGACUGAGAUGAAUGGUGUUAAAUGCUCUAGUAGAGCUAUGCGUAUCGGUC